GGCUGCUCCUAGUACGAGAGGACCGGAGUGGACGCAUCACUGGUGUUCGGGUUGUCAUGCCAAUGGCACUGCCCGGUAGCUAAAUGCGGAAGAGAUAAGUGCUGAAAGCAUCUAAGCACGAAACUUGCCCCGAGAUGAGUUCUCCCUGACUCCUUGAGAGUCCUGAAGGAACGUUGAAGACGACGACGUUGAUAGGCCGGGUGUGUAAGCGCAGCGAUGCGUUGAGCUAACCGGUACUAAUGAACCGUGAGGCUUAACCUU
rnacentral:rRNA from 1 species